rnacentral:rRNA from 1 species
UAGUCCACGCCGUAAACGAUGUGUGCUAGUUGUUGGGGGCCACAGGUCUUCAGUGACGCAGCUAACGCAUUAAGCACACCGCCUGGGGAGUACGGUCGCAAGAUUAAAACUCAAAGGAAUUGACGGGGACCCGCACAAGCGGUGGAGCAUGUUGUUUAAUUCGAAGCAACGCGAAGAACCUUACCUACCCUUGACAUACCUCUCGGGGAUUACAGAGAUGUUUUCCUUCGGUUCGGCCGGAGAGUGUACAGGUGCUGCAUGGCUGUCGUCAGCUCGUGUCGUGAGAUGUUGGGUUAAGUCCCGCAACGAGCGCAACCCUUAUCGUAUGUUGCCAGCAUUUAGUUGGGCACUCAUGCGAGACUGCCGGUGAUAAGCCGGAGGAAGGCGGGGACGACGUCAAGUCAUCAUGGCCCUUACGGGGUA